CUGGGCUGCUGCCUUGCAGGACCCUGUGCUGUGAGUGCUGAGGUCUGAAAUUUGCAUCGCCUCUUUGCACUCAUGCUCAUCUUCUUCAGGAGAACCAAGGCCUCCGCCUAGGAGGUCAGGAUGCAGAGAACCAGAAGGAGAGAAAGAAUGAAAGAGAACACAACACUAAAGCUUCCUCCAGUGUAGUGGGGGCCAGGCCUGAACCUGGGUUAUGAACAUGGGAAAGUAGCACUCUAUCCAGCUGCCCCAUAAACAAAAGCCCAUUUCUGUGAGCAGCACAUCCACGAAUGAAGCACCCUUGAUCAGGCCCUGGAAGCGAUGAAUGAGCCCUCACAGGCACACUGACAUCUGAUAAAAAACAGCAGAGAGAAAGAGAGAGAGAGAUGCAAUCCUGAAAGCAAAGAGUGGGAUCGGCAACACUGCCAGAGCCAGGAUUCCCUCUCUGCACACAUACCCAAGUG